AGCGAGAGAACGUUGCCGCAGGCAACGGCCCGAAGGGCGAGGAGCGAUAGCGACGAGUUAUCCUUCCCCCACCACCA
rnacentral:sRNA from 1 species